rnacentral:rRNA from 1 species
GACGAACGCUGGCGGCGUGCUUAACACAUGCAAGUCGAGCGGAGCGGCGAACGGGUGAGUAACGCGUGAGUAACUGCCCCCCUCUCUGGGAUAACAGUUGGAAACGGCUGCUAAUACCGGAUAGUGGGGGAUGACUCGCGUCCUAUCAGCUUGUUGGUGGGGUAGUGGCCUACCAAGGCGACGACGGGUAGCCGGCCGGCGCGGGCGACCGGCCACUGUGGGCUGAGACACGGCCCAGGCUCCUACGGGAGGCAGCAGUAUGGGAUAUUGCACAAUGGGGGAAAGCCUGAUGCAGCGACGCCGCGUGGGGGAUGAAGGCUUUCGGGUUGUAAACCUCUGUCGCUAUCGAACGGGUAGGUGGAGAAGAAGCGCCGGCUAACUACGUGCCAGCAGCCGCGGUAAUUC